GUAGGUGAACCUGCGGAAGGAUCAUUGACACUUCAAUAAUCUUUGUCAUUCAUUGUUUUAUUGUGAUCACCUAAUUUAAUUAGUUGUUGAUCCUUUACUCAAUUUAUGACUUUUAUCACACCUUGUAUGAACAAGUUAAAGUCUUUAUUAGUUUUUAAACUACAAUCAUUUUUAACAUUCAUCUAAUAUUAAGCUUUAUUGAGUCAAAUCAAUAAAUCUAUAUAAAGUUAACCAAGAAACAACUGUUAACAACGGAUAUCUUGGCUCUU
rnacentral:misc_RNA from 1 species